rnacentral:rRNA from 1 species
AGAGUUUCGAUCCGUGGCUACAGGACGAACGCUGGCGGCGUGCUUAACACAUGCAAGUCGAACGAUGAAGCGGUGCUUGCACCGUGGAUUAGUGGCGAACGGGUGAGUAAUACGUGAGUGACCUACCUUUGACUCUGGGAUAAGCCUGGGAAACUGGGUCUAAUACCGGAUACGACCAAUCUCUGCAUGGGGUGUUGGUGGAAAGCGUUAUGGAGUGGUUUUAGAUGGGCUCACGGCCUAUCAGCUUGUUGGUGAGGUAAUGGCUUACCAAGGCGACGACGGGUAGCCGGCCUGAGAGGGUGACCGGCCACACUGGGACUGAGACACGGCCCAGACUCCUACGGGAGGCAGCAGUGGGGAAUAUUGCACAAUGGGCGCAAGCCUGAUGCAGCGACGCCGCGUGAGGGAUGACGGCCUUCGGGUUGUAAACCUCUGUUAGCAUCGAAGAAGCGAAAGUGACGGUAGGUGCAGAGAAAGCGCCGGCUAACCACGUG